UGUGGGCAAGGUGGAGCUCGGGUGGAGUUUUGUCGCCGACGUCGCGCCGCGAGGCCGUUCGAGCUUGUAUUUGACGCCGAGGUAGCGCGUGGAGGCCGGGCGAGCAGGGAUCUUCACCGUUCUUAACGUCGCACCGGUGCUAACCGCUGUCGAGUAUUUCAGCUUGUUCUCGACGUAGGAGCAUCGGAUUUCGACGAGGCUUGGUUCGUUGGAUUCAGGACUUCGAGAGGAAUCCAUGAAGCCCUUACUUGCGAAUUUUGGUGAAGGUUAACUUGGUCGAAUCCCUUUUCUACUCUAUUGCUGCGAUAUUGGGACUGAAUUGGUGGAUUUUGAUCGUAGAGCUUGGAGUAGCUCGAGUGCUAGACUUGGAGGACUCCCGUUGAUCCAGCAGGGGUCACUUUGGUUCGAGGCCUUGUUCACUGCUAGGGAUUAGCAUUUUAGAGCCACAGGUUCCGGCUGCUGCACCGUCCGUGGAUCAGGA